AUUGAACGCUGGCGGCAUGCCUUACACAUGCAAGUCGAACGGUAACGCGGGGCAACCUGGCGACGAGUGGCGAACGGGUGAGUAAUGCAUCGGAACGUGCCCAGUAGUGGGGGAUAACUGCUCGAAAGAGCAGCUAAUACCGCAUACGACCUGAGGGUGAAAGCGGGGGAUCGCAAGACCUCGCGCUAUAGGAGCGGCCGAUGUCAGAUUAGGUAGUUGGUGGGGUAAAGGCCCACCAAGCCAACGAUCUGUAGCUGGUCUGAGAGGACGACCAGCCACACUGGGACUGAGACACGGCCCAGACUCCUACGGGAGGCAGCAGUGGGGAAUUUUGGACAAUGGACGCAAGUCUGAUCCAGCCAUGCCGCGUGCGGGAAGAAGGCCUUCGGGUUGUAAACCGCUUUUGUCAGGGAAGAAACGCUCUGGGUUAAUACCUCGGGGUAAUGACGGUACCUGAAGAAUAAGCACCGGCUAACUACGUGCCAGCAGCCGCAGUAUAC
rnacentral:rRNA from 1 species